rnacentral:rRNA from 1 species
ACUCCGGUUGAUCCUGCCGGACCCCACUGCUAUGGGGAUGGGAUUAAGACAUGCUAGUCGUGCGUCUCCAAACCACGGUGGAGGCGCGGCGCACAGCUCAGUAACACGUGGCUAACCUGCCCUUGGGACGGGAACAACCCCG